GACGAACGCUGGCGGCGUGCUUAACACAUGCAAGUCGAACGGAAAGGCCCUGCUCUUGUGGGGUGCUCGAGUGGCGAACGGGGGAGUAACACGUGAGUAUACUGCCCUUGGCUUUGGGGGAACACUAGGAAACUCGGUAUAAUAUAGGGUAGGAGCUUCUGUGGCAUGGGGGGGGUAGGAAAGAUUCGGAGGUUGGGGAUGGACUGGCGGCUUUGCAGCUUGUUGGUGGGGUGGUGGCGUACCAGGGCAUUGACGGGUAGCCAGACUGAGAGGGUGACCGGGCACAUUGGGACUGGGAUAGGGGCCGGACUCCUACGGGAGGCAGCGGUGGGAAACAUUGCACAAUGGGCGGAGGGCUUGUGGAGCGACGUCGGGUGCGGGAUGACGGCCUUCGGGUUGUAACCCGCUUGCGCCUGUGACGAAGCGUGAGUGACGGUAAUUUGUCAAAAAGCACCGGCUAACUACGUG
rnacentral:rRNA from 1 species